GAGACAGCAGCAGCCACGGGAAUACGGAGGGUGCAAGCGUUAAUCGGAAUUACUGGGCGUAAAGCGCACGCAGGCGGUCUGUCAAGUCAGAUGUGAAAUCCCCGGGCUUAACCUGGGAACUGCAUUUGAAACUGGCAGGCUAGAGUCUUGUAGAGGGGGGUAGAAUUCCAGGUGUAGCGGUGAAAUGCGUAGAGAUCUGGAGGAAUACCGGUGGCGAAGGCGGCCCCCUGGACAAAGACUGACGCUCAGGUGCGAAAGCGUGGGGAGCAAACAGGAUUAGAUACCCCGGUAGUCCCUGUCUCUUAUAC
rnacentral:rRNA from 1 species